UACGGGGGGGGCAAGCGUUGUUCGGAAUUACUGGGCGUAAAGGGCGCGUAGGCGGUUCGCUAAGUUGGAUGUGAAAACUCUGGGCUCAACCCAGAGCCUGCAUUCAAAACUGACGAGCUAGAGUUCUGGAGGGGGUAGCGGAAUUCCUGGUGUAGCGGUGAAAUGCGUAGAUAUCAGGAGGAACACCGGUGGCGAAGGCGGCUACCUGGACAGAAACUGACGCUGAGGCGCGAAAGCUAGGGGAGCAAGCAGG
rnacentral:rRNA from 1 species